rnacentral:tRNA from 2 species
UGUUGGUUAAACCCCCUCCUCUACUAC